CGCUCAUCUCAUAAUUACAGCCUUCAACAAAUGGAGCAAAUAUCUCUCGAUGGGAUUUUCACAUACAGCCGGAUUUCAAACACGCCUGAUUGGGCGUAAAGUGGUUAUAAUGAAAGACACAAGAGAGGCUUGCUCCGGAGGGGAGAAAGUGGAUCGAUGGGGGAUCAAUUGCGCUCUUCGCUCUCAUUUAAGGACCGAUCGAUGGCUGUCCUUGUCGCUUCACCGGGACACUGGUGCUGUCAAUACCCCUUGGCUGCCCACCUCCCCCCAGUAGCCGAGCGGCGUCUUCUGAGACACAACCCGACCAAGCACGCCCGCCCUCCAAGGCGAUGGCUACAGCAAGCCAAAUAAGUUUGAUGACAAUAUCGGAAACCCAGCGAAGCCUUGAGGGUAUCUUGCUUCGCCGCGCAAGACGAGGUAGUAACAGAGGAACAGCUGCCCCCCCCUCCUUCGAAGGAGUCGGGAGCGCCGCCAGGCCCAUUGAAGCCCUGAAAUGAUAUUAGCCCAACAAUGGCGUCCCCUCGGAAAGGCCCGGGCCGCGGCGGAAAAGACAGCUCUGUCCCCAGAUAACCCCCUCUGCUGCUGGGUGUGUGCCAGGCAGGCACAGAGCUACCCCCCCAACCCGGGGCCCAAAGCCUAAAUUACACGUCUGAGCUCUGUUUUGUGAUCGAAAAGCCAGACGGCAAGAGUGAAAUGAAUUCGCCCGGCGAAGUCCAAACGUCGUAGCUUCAGCUGGUAGCGAAGAAACGUCAAUGUGUUUAUUUUUUAAACACCUGCCGGAUCAACAAUCAUUAAAGGUCAGGGGGGAUCCAUAGUCUCAGGAAGAAAUCAACACAUUUUCCCCCAGUUAACCCUGUUAACCGUUUGUCAAUCUACUUUUAAAAUAAUAAGAUGAACCAUAUAUCUAGGGACGUGUUUAGAAUGAUUUAUCAGCUUCACAAGAAGAAUAGCUAGCACAGCUCAUGAGUGUCACGUUAAAGAGGUUAAAGGUUUUGCAGUAGCGUGUGUUUGAGCCCAGAGAGGGCGUAAUGCAAAGCAUUCUACAAGUGGUGUUUGGUUUGGGUUCUCCUUUUUUAAGUGUGCCGUGUGCCAGCAUUUUCACAUAAUUUAAAUUCCCUUUUGAAAAAAAAAAGCAACACAAACUAAAUUUGGAUUGAAAUCAAUGAUAUCUCAAUUUGCUGAAGUGAACCGAUCGCUCGGGAUUCCGCACUACCUGAUCCAUCAGCAAGAGGGUGCUGUUUUGCAGGCCUUUUGAAGGACCGAAUUGUAUAAGAAUGAAAUGGAGCACACUUUUAACUUUGAACUACUUGUGUUUAUUGCAUAUGAUACACUUGCAUUCACACAAGACAACAGGAGAUUCCACAUAAAACGGUAUAGAUGAUUAAAAUGGUCUACUCCGUAAAAAGCC
ensembl:lncRNA